CCUGAACUCGAGUAGGGCCCAAGCAAGCCAGGAAGGAGGCGGCAGCCAGAGUGUUCUCGGCAGCAGAAGACCCCUUGCUGCCCUGCUUAACCCAGACCAGCAUUUGCCAGACAUUAGGUACUUCUGAUGAAGAUGUUUUUGAAAUGGACUAUCAUCCAGGGAAUCUGUCAAGUUUCAAAAGUUUCAAGAUUCCUGUGCAAAGCUUCAAGUUCUCAAGGUUCCUGUGCAGAGUAUAUUACAUCUUAUUUUUGAGGAUUGACUUUCAGCAAACUGGCACCAUCAGCAUCAUAUCAGUUAUUUUACAUGAUCAGCAUUCCAACCACUGUUGUCAAGAAUUACAUUUCAUAGUCUGUGGAGUUUGUAUCAGCCCACAUUGUUGUAAUUAUCUGCUGUUGUUACAUGGGUGCCUGUAGCUUGUGAUUAUAUGUGGAGUAUUGCUUUACCCUGUAUUGUGUCUCUGCAUUUUUUUGCCUUGCCCAUUAGAUCUACAGUCAUACCCCUGAGUUAGUUGACUUGCAAAACAUGCAUGAUCUUAGUGAAAUGUAUUCUUCUAGGACUUGGUUUGCAUCUGCAAGUUUUUUGAGGUUUUUUGGUUGACCUACAUUCAAAGUUCAGCAUAAUGACAAAUCUGUGCAAAAAAAAAGUUCCUCAUUUUAACCUCUUGGCACCUAGCAAUGACUGCCCCUUGUGGGAAAAUGUAGUUUUUAGCAGAUACAUCAAGUUGUGUUGAGCCUA